UUGCGACGCAGGGAGCGGCUGACGUUCUGCGUGGGGUACCCCAGGAGCUGGGUGACGCGGGUGCCGCGCCCGCUGGCCUUGUACCCGGGCGCCAAGGCGUCCUCUCUGUGGAAAACAACAGGCGGGCGGAUUCUAUAAAUGUCUAACAGACCUCAGAGACUUACAUUUCCCUGGUUGGAGGAGACUGAGAUCAUUGGAAACAUACAUGAAACAGAACAUCAAAAGGAGAGGCCUAGAGGAACGGAAAGAGACAGAGAAGAGAUAUGGGGAGGCAAGACAAGGGACCAGAGACCCCCAGAGCAAGCUUUCCAGAUGGGAUGGACUAGACACUGGCACACAGCUGCACCACGCUAGCACCAGGACCCUGCUCUGAGUAUCAGAGAGCCAGGGUGCUUGACUCAUAGCACUGGAGGAUGGACUCUCCCUGUGCCAGGAGGAGGUGAGCCAGCCAAAGUUCUCAUUUUCUGCUCUGAUGAAGAUUGAAGGGGCCUGGGCGACCUGCAAUGUCUCUGUUCACAGAUCUCACCGUCUCCUGUGAGGAACCCCAGAUACCAAGAUGAGAGACUGAACAGAGGAAGAUGGUGCCAGAGGGGGAGAGGCUCAGAGGGAACCCAACUCUGCCAGGGCCUCCUAGAUGCCUUAAGGCUGGCCAGUAGGAAAAAGUGCAUGUCUGAGAGGGGUGACUUACGUGCAGAGCUGGGGAGACCAGGCUUGCUAUAUGACUUUCCUGGGAAAGACAGUCCUCUAAAAUAGGUAAGGGAUGUUUUUUGGUGUCUGCACAUAUCAACUAAAUAGAUGAUGCUGGUAGCCACCAGCAGAAGGGUGCCAGCCUCCCUGACAGUACUGCCUUGCCUUCUCUCUCAUCCACAGUUACGUGCUACAUACUUUCAAGAGCUUUGGAGGAGGGUUUACUAGGUAAAAGAUUGCACUUACGACUACAGGGCCAUGACGGUGAGAAAGGGUCCCCCCUACAAAUACAGGUGUACUACCCAAGUGGUUGGGGAGAUACAUUAUCUAGUGGAGAAGAUGGAGGGGACACCUGGGGCAGUGCACAGGCCUGAGGAAAAGGAAGCACAGGAAGCAGCUUGCUGACUCUCCUGAGCCCUAUGAAAAGAGGACUCUUGCCCCGGGGCCCUUGUAACCUGGCACUGUAAACAUCUAGGACGCUUCAAGCCACUGUCCCCUGCCUCCUCCAGUGCAGGCUACAUUCAGGAAGACAACAUGAGAAAUAUGAGAAAUGGAGUAAACUCCAGGGGUUAGAGAGUAGGGAGGCAGGAGCACCCUAGGGGAGUCAGUUGGAAGCUCCUCUCCCCCAGGGCAUUCAAAUAACGGAAGUGACUCCAAUAUUGCAAGCUGGUACUCCUGCCCCAAAUGGGAGGCUGCAACCUGGGCCUUUCAGGGAAAAAAAAAAAAAAAGGCUAAGACUAUUCUACAGGUGCAUUAAAUUUGAAGGGAGUAUUUGGGAGCAGCCUGGCACAAACCAGAGGUUUCCAGGAGAAGGGGCAAGGCCUGCUGUAGUCACUGCGUGCCCAGAGGGUAACUGGCACAUGGCAGGCACUCAGUAAAGACCUGAGUUUGUGAAUGGGUCCAUAAGGAACAGUUUGGGGCAGAGUGAGGAAAGUUACAACAAAUAAAGGCACUUUGGGGACCCCCUACUUAUGGGGACUGACGUGAGCCAGGCCAUGUAAAUGAGGGGGCAGCUGUGUUCAGGCAAGGAGCUGGGCCCCAGGAGUGUCCUGGUCUGUGCAGCAGAACUACCUGGAGUUGAGGAGAGCUGAGACAGGAGCAGUGAGCCACAGGCUCCAACAGUGCCCCUCCGCAGGUGUGCUCUGAAUCACAGCCCAGAGCCCAGGAAGAGAUGUGUCUUGGCUGGCCUCAUCCUCCUAGCUCCACCCACCAGCCCUGGCUCUGAUCCGCCCCCACUGGCUCCAUCUCAGUGCCCCAAGAUGCCUCUGAGCCAAGUGUAAGGGAGGUGCAGAGCAGGUGCAGAGACAAAAGGGCUCAAAGUAGACACCUCACACACCACUCCGGGACAAAGCGCCAACCCCACUUAGGAGGGACCAUCAUGAGACAGCUUCCUCCUGUCCCCUGCCCCUGUGUAUCACACACCCAUGAUAAGGUGCCCGGAAUAUGUUUUAUUCCAUCUUCACUGCCCUGUGGCAGCUGUAUCCCCACAAGAAAACCGAGUAGUUCUUUAGAGAAGUAGAAUAGAUUUAAUCUGUAACUAUGAAAUGCCUAGGUUAGCAGCAAUUGUGGACACCCAGAGACUGGGCAGAAUCUGUCCCCUCAAAGGCACCCUGAGGCCCCUGAAGGCUCCCCUUUCAGUUCACAGAGCUGCUGGUUGGACCUUAGCUUUGCGCUCGGCUUCAAUGCAGUACUUCUCAGGAAGACCGGAGGCUCUGCAGGAGGGAAAAUGCAGGGCAGGCGUAAGGAAGCGGCUGGACAUCAUUCUCUUUGGGGAAGGGGAGAAGUGCCAGGGAAGAAGGGGUCCAGUGUACCUCAGCUCUUCAAGUUUCUUCUUCUUGAUGUCAUUAAUGCGCUCCUGCCGCUUCUGGGCCUCCUCUUUGAGGCGCCGGCCCUCCUCGAAGGUGGCGAUCGGGUUCUGCACCUGCUUCUGCUGGUUCUCACGCACCUGGCGCCGGAGCUCGUUGGCAUGCUGCAAGCGCCCUGUGGCCUUUUUCUCCUCCUCCAGCCGCUCCUUCUCAAUCUGCUCUCUCUGAGCCCUGAGGAAUGGAAUGGGCCAGGAGUAGAAUGGGCUGGGCUGCACCAACCCUACAGAAGAAAGGCUAGGAGCUGGCUGGGUAGCCCCUCCUUGGGGCCAUGCUGUGGAGACCACGCAGCCCAGGCUCUUCUGCAGCUCAAGGGUCAGCCCAAAGGUGGUCACAUGUGCUCCCUCCUCCCUCAACCAACGCUAGCCUUGUGGGCAUGCCACUGUGUGUCCUAGCAGCUCGAAAGGACCCCAGGCUGGGUUAACGUUCUGCUGUCUGUGGUGUUGAAAUUCUUUAACAAGGAGCUCCACAGUCCAAGUUUUCACUGGGCUUUGCAAAUUGUGUAGCUGGUUCUACAACCAGGAUUUCACGCACUGGGGGUUAUUUUUGCUACUCUUCCUUAACAAUUCGUAGCUGCUCUCCAGCUUGUUCUAAAGCUUACUUCCCCCUCCUUCCAUCCUUCCUUCCCUUCCUUCAUUCUGAAAACAGAAAAUAAAGGGACAAAGGGCAAAGGCCUGAGCAAAACUAAAUAAACUAAGUAAACGAACAGCAAGUUGAGGAAAAGCCUCAAAGGAAGCUAUGGGCGCAGCAGCGAAGCUGCCUACAGUUUGCAUGUACUCCGCCCUUUUUCCUGCCCGCCUGGAUUUGGAUGCUUCCUCGGUAUCCUCUUGUCCUCCACAUAUAGCAAUGGCUUUGUUUUUUGCUCUUUCUAAUAAACACACCUGGUCCUUCC